AGCUAGAUCCAAUGUAAAAUUAGAAUACAGGGCCAUGGCACUGGGCAUUUGUAAGCUAUUAUGUUUAUAGAAAUUGAUGGAAGAAAUGAUGCUAUCAAAAAUCGACAGUUUAUCCUUAUUGUGUGAUAACAAAACUACCAUCAACAUAGUACACAAUCCUGUCCAACAUGAUCAGACUAAGCAUAUAGAGAUCGAUCGACACUUUAUAAAGGAGAAA
rnacentral:misc_RNA from 1 species